GGAGUAUGGGCCGUGUCUCAGUCCCAUUGUGGCUGAUCAUCCUCUCAAACCAGCUACUGAUCGUCGCCUUGGUGGUCCAUUACACCCCCAACUAGCUAAUCAGAUGCAGACUCAUCCUGAAGCGAUAAAUCUUUCACGAAUAGUAUCUCAACUACGCGCAUAUGGGGUAUUAGCAGGAGUUUCCCUCUGUUGUCCCCCUCUUCAGGGCAGAUUCUCUACAUAUUACUCACCCGUCCGCCACUUUCCUUGGUAGCAAGCUACCAAUUCUCGUUCGACUUGCAUGUAUGAAGCACGCCGCCAGCGUUCAUCCUGAGCCAUGAUCAAUCUCU
rnacentral:rRNA from 1 species